ensembl:lncRNA
ACCCUUCAGCUAAUCAGUGAGCAUCUGCCACGGCGGGGGGGCGGGGCCCCGCCUGAUGGUCACUGAUCACGCGGUGUGUUCCUUGUCGCCGCACAAAAAGCGCUUUCCCUGAUCUUAUCCUGCUCGGAUAUGAUUUAAUUCGCCUGCAUUAAUGAACACGCAUAUAACCCCCCCCCCCACACACACACACACACACACACACUACUGUACCCGAGUGGCGUCGUGUGUGUGGCCGUUGUGUAACGCUCAUUUGGCUGUGUGAUAUUGUUUAUGAUGUGAGGCUGAGAGCUCUCUGUGUCAGGGAGUCUGAUUUCCCAGAGGCUGCUUGAUGUAAUGACUCACACGGCGCACUGUAGCUACUGCCCUGACACACGCACGCACACACACCGCAGGCACGCACGCACACACACCGCAGGCACGCACGCACACACACCGCAGGCACGCACGCACGCACACACACCGCAGGCACGCACGCACGCACACACACCGCAGGCACGCACGCACGCACACACACCGCAGGCACGCAUGCACGCACACACACCGCAGGCACGCACGCACGCACACACACGCACUUACCCACAUGCGGACACACACAACGCGCGCACACACAGACACACACACAGAGCCACACAUCUGUCCUAUACUAGCCAUUAUCAUUCUUUCUGACAUCUAAUUACCAACUAUUGCCAAUAACGGGCCUGCCCCCUCCCUGGUGCCCCCCCUCCUGUCUGGUAUAAUGACGCAUGGAUUGGUAGCAUUUCACAGAGCAGAAGACUACCAAAGGUUGAUUCUGUUCCCCAUUUCAUUCUUCCUCCCCAUAAAGGUUACUCAUAUAGGAAGCUAUAUCUCCACACGUGUACGAGCUGAAGGUCACGUGGUCACAGAGGAGGGGGGGGGGGGGCAUUCUGCAGGUGGACUCUGGUCAGACGGUUUCCUGGAGCCGGUCCUAUGAUCUCCAGGCCCCCCCCCCCCUCAAACACCCUAAACCCUGGCUUCUGUCACAGCUUCUAAAGACAUAAGCAGGAACAACGCCCGGAACACCAAAGGCCACGUAUGGGCAUGAUAAUGAACGGGUUCACCAGAACCCUGCUGUUUAUAGAGGCAGAAUGAAACCGUACACAACCAACCAAACCAACCAACCCUACCAACAACCAACCAAACCAACCAACCCUACCAACAACCAACCAACCAACCCAACCAACCCUACCAACAACCAACCAACCCAACCAACCCUACCAACCAACCAACCCAACCAACCAACCCAACCAACCCUACCAACAACCAACCAACCCAACCAACCCUACCAACCAACCAACCCAACCAACCAACCAACCAACCCAACCAACCCUACCAACAACCAACCAACCCAACCAACCCAAACAACCAACCCAACCAACCAACCCAACCAACCCAACCAACCCAACCAACCCAACCAACCAACCCAACCAACCCAACCAACCCUACCAACAACCAACCAACCCAACCAACCUAACCAACCCUACCAACAACCAACCAACCCAACAAACAAACCAACCCAACCAACCAACCCAACCAACCCUACCAACAACCAACCAACCCAACCAACCCAACCAACCAACCCGACAAACCAACCAACCCACCCAACCAACCCUACCAACCAACCAACCCAACCAACCAACCCAACCAACCAACCAACCCAACCAACCCAACCAACCCUACCAACAACCAACCAACCAACCCAACCAACCCAACCAACCCUACCAACAACCAACCAACCAACCCAACCAACCCUACCAACAACCAACCAACCCAACCAACCAACCCAACCAACCCAACCAACCCAACCAACCAACCCAACCAACCAACCAACCAACCCAACCAACCAACCCACCCAACCAACCAACCGACCCAACCAACCCAACCAACCCAACCAACCCAACCAACCAACCCAACCAACCAACCAACCAACCAACCGACCCAGAUCCCCCCAGAGAGGGAGUGGCCUGCGGCCUCGGCCCAGCCUCAGAGACGCUGUCCCCGUUGGGCUGCUCCUCCUCCCCCAGGUAGAGAGGACCGACGGGCUCCUCCUCCCCCAGGUAGAGAGGACCGACGGGCUCCUCCUCCCCCAGGUAGAGAGGACUGACGGGCGGCUGAUCGCCUCGCCUGCUCUGGAGGACGCCCAUCACCGCGGGGCCGAAGCCCCGCCUCCUCCACCCGGAGCUCCAGCUCAGCCCCCCCCCUCCUCCACCCGGAGCUCCAGCUCACCCCCCCCCCCGUGCGCUCAUGUCGUUCCAGAUCUCAUUUCCCUGACAACGAAGCCAUGCGGGGACGACCGUGAGACGUCUUUAUUUAGUCGUGUUUUAUUAGCUCUGGGAGGAAGCACAGAAGAUACUUAUCAGCCACCGCUGACAGGUUAUGAAUGAGGAGCCUUCAUCCAUUCACUCCUUCAUCCAUUCACUCCUUCAUCCAUUCACUCCUUCAUUCAUUCCCUCCUUCAUCCGUUCAUCCGUUCUUAUCAGCGCAGCCCUGUCUGAAUGUUAAGCAGUGCAGCUUUCUCUGUUCAUUAGUGCUCGUGAUCAGGAGCUCAGUGGAACCUUAGGGGUACCUUAGAGUCUCAAGCAGG